UACGGAGGGUGCAAGCGUUAAUCGGAAUUACUGGGCGUAAAGCGUGCGUAGGCGGCUCGUUAAGUCAGAUGUGAAAGCCCUGGGCUCAACCUGGGAACGGCAUUUGAAACUGGCGAGCUAGAGUUUAGGAGAGGAGAGUGGAAUUUCAGGUGUAGCGGUGAAAUGCGUAGAGAUCUGAAGGAACACCAGUGGCGAAGGCGACUCUCUGGCCUAAAACUGACGCUGAGGUACGAAAGCGUGGGUAGCAAACAGG
rnacentral:rRNA from 1 species